AUUGAACGCUGGCGGCAGGCCUAACACAUGCAAGUCGAACGGUAACAGGAAGCAGCUUGCUGCUUUGCUGACGAGUGGCGGACGGGUGAGUAAUGUCUGGGAAACUGCCCGAUGGAGGGGGAUAACUACUGGAAACGGUAGCUAAUACCGCAUAACGUCGCAAGACCAAAGAGGGGGACCUUAGGGCCUCUUGCCAUCGGAUGUGCCCAGAUGGGAUUAGCUAGUAGGUGGGGUAACGGCUCACCUAGGCGACGAUCCCUAGCUGGUCUGGGAGGAUGACCAGCCACACUGGAACUGAGACACGGUCCAGACUCCUACGGGAGGCAGCAGUGGGGAAUAUUGCACAAUGGGCGCAAGCCUGAUGCAGCCAUGCCGCGUGUAUGAAGAAGGCCUUCGGGUUGUAAAGUACUUUCAGCGGGGAGGAAGGGAGUAAAGUUAAUACCUUUGCUCAUUGACGUUACCCGCAGAAGAAGCACCGGCUAACUCCGUG
rnacentral:rRNA from 1 species